GUUCCCUUAGCCCUGCCUGCCGGCAGGCAGGUCAGCGGCAGAGCGCCUCCCUUAUACGGAGGAGGUCGUUGGUUCAAAUCCAACAGGGAACA
rnacentral:tRNA from 2 species